GGCGUUUUUCGCAGCGGCGGAGCUCGACCGCCGACUCAAGUGAUCUGCGCCUACAUCGACGCGCACAAGCAUCGUUUCGGGGUCGAGCCGAUCUGCCGGGUGUUGUCCGAGCACGCCAUGCCGAUCGCCCCG
rfam:Nakamurella multipartita DSM 44233, complete genome.